GAUGAACGCUAGCGGCAGGCCUAAUACAUGCAAGUCGAACGGGAUUUGGGAGCUUGCUUCCAAUGAGAGUGGCGCACGGGUGCGUAACACGUAUGUAACCUACCUUAAUCUGGGGGAUAGCCUCUCGAAAGAGAGAUUAACACCGCAUAACAUCACACCAUAGCAUUUUGGAGUGAUCAAUAUUUAUAGGAUUAAGAUGGGCAUGCGGAACAUAGCUAGUUGGUAAGGUAAUGGCUUACC
rnacentral:rRNA from 1 species